rnacentral:pre_miRNA from 1 species
AGGUUGGGAGAGGUUGCAAUGCUCUAUACAUGUAUGGUAUUGCACUUGUCCCGGCCUGU